rnacentral:tRNA from 1 species
CGCGGGGGUGGCGGACGAGGUGGUCGGCGAGCGCCUCGGAGGCGCCCAGCACUCCCAGCAGCCGGUCGCGCAGCGGUUUCGCCGCGAC